UACGGAGGGUGCAAGCGUUAUCCGGAUUCACUGGGCUUAAAGGGUGCGUAGGUGGGCAGGUAAGUCCGUGGUGAAAUCUCUGAGCUUAACUCAGAAACUGCCGUGGAUACUAUCUGUCUUGAAUAUUGUGGAGGUAAGCGGAAUAUGUCAUGUAGCGGUGAAAUGCUUAGAUAUGACAUAGAACACCAAUUGCGAAGGCAGCUUACUACACAGUAAUUGACGCUGAGGCACGAAAGCGUGGGGAUCAAACAGG
rnacentral:rRNA from 1 species